UGCUUAAAGGGGCCGUAGCUUGAUAUGCAAGUCCCUUGAGAAAUCCGCCAGCUUAACUGGCGGGCGUUCAGGGGAAACUGCAUUUCUAGGGACCGGGAGAGGUGAGAGGUACUGCCGGGGUAGGAGUGAAAUCCUGUAAUCCCGGUGGGACCACCUAUGGCGAAGGCAUCUCACCAGAACGGGUCCGACAGUGAGGGACGAAAGCUGGGGGAGCAAACCGGAUUAGAUACCCGGGUAGUCCCAGCUGUAAACGAUGCGCGUUAGGUGUGUCAGUGACCACGUGUCACUGAGGUGCCGAAGGGAAACCGUGAAACGCGCCGCCUGGGGAGUACGGUCGCAAGGUUGAAACUUAAAGGAAUUGGCGGGGGAGCACCACAACGGGUGGAGCCUGCGGUUUAAUCGGACUCAACGCCGGAAAUCUCACCGGAUAAGACAGCUGAAUGAUAGUCGGGAUGAAGACUCUACUUGACUAGCUGAGAGGAGGUGCAUGGCCGUCGUCAGUUCGUACUGUGAAGCAUCCUGUUUAGUCAGGCAACGAGCGAGACCCACGCCAACAGUUGCCAGCUUGACCUUCGGGUUGAUGGGGACACUGUUGGGACCGCCUCUGCUAAAGGGGAGGAAGGAAUGGGCAACGGUAGGUCCGCAUGCCCCGAAA
rnacentral:rRNA from 1 species